rnacentral:ncRNA from 1 species
GUUUUGGUCCUAAACUUGCUCUUGUUUUUUUACCAAAAUUAUACAUGCAAGCCUCCACAUACCAGUGAGAAUGCCCACAUACCCCCAAACAGUGAACCGGAGCAGGCAUCAGGAUACAACACCCUCUUUUUAGCCAAAGACGCCUUGCAUAUGCCACACCCACACGGGUUCUCAGCAGUAAUUAACAUUAAGACAUGAGCGAAAGCUCGACUUAGUUAUGGUAAACAUGGCCGGUAAAUUUCGUGCCAGCCACCGCGGUUACACGAAAGACCAGAAACAAGAGCCAAACGGCGUAAAGCGUGACUAAAGAACUAUAACAUUUUUAAAGGGGAACAGCUGCCAAGUAGUAAAAUACCCACGCACGCUAGAACACCAACUAAUGCCUUUAACACCACUUUACCUCACGAAAGCUAAGAAACAAACUGGGAUUAGAUACCCCACUAUGCUUAGCCCUAAACAUAGACAGUAAAAACACAAAACUGUUCGCCAGAGAACUACAAAUGAAAAGCUUAAAACUCUAAGGACUUGGCGGUGCUUCAAAUCAACCUAGAGGAGCCUGUCCUAUAAUCGAUACCCCACGUUUCACCUUACCUCUCCUAGCCAACCAGCCUAUAUACCGCCGUCGUCAGCCUACCUUAUGAAAGAAAAUAAAGUAAGCAAAAAAGUUAGUAACUAAUACGUCAGGUCAAGGUGUAGCACACGGAGAGGCAGAGAUGGGCUACAUUUUCUCAAAGAGAAAACACAAAUAGUGAACUGAAACACACACCUGAAGGCGGAUUUAGUAGUAAAAUAGCUAAGAAUAGUUAUUUUAAACCUGCUCUGAAGCGCGCACACACCGCCCGUCACCCUCAUCACAUGUACAACACCAU